rnacentral:piRNA from 1 species
UAGCCUGGUAAACAAUCGCUUUGUGUCUGGC